rnacentral:rRNA from 1 species
CCUACGGGGAGCAGCAGUGGGGAAUAUUGGACAAUGGGGGGAACCCUGAUCCAGCCAUGCCGCGUGUGUGAAGAAGGCCCUCGGGUUGUAAAGCACUUUCAGUGAGGAAGAACGCCUGGUGGUUAAUACCCAUCAGGAAAGACAUCACUCACAGAAGAAGCACCGGCUAACUCCGUGCCAGCAGCCGCGGUAAUACGGAGGGUGCGAGCGUUAAUCGGAAUUACUGGGCGUAAAGCGCGCGUAGGUGGCUUGAUAAGCCGGUUGUGAAAGCCCCGGGCUCAACCUGGGAACGGCAUCCGGAACUGUCAAGCUAGAGUGCAGGAGAGGAAGGUAGAAUUCCCGGUGUAGCGGUGAAAUGCGUAGAGAUCGGGAGGAAUACCAGUGGCGAAGGCGGCCUUCUGGACUGACACUGACACUGAGGUGCGAAAGCGUGGGUAGCAAACAGGAUUAGAUACCCCUGUAGUC